UACAGAGGGUGCAAACGUUGCUCGGAAUCAUUGGGCGUAAAGCGCACGUAGGCGGCCCAGCAAGUGGGGAGUGAAAGCCCUCGGCUUAACCGAGGAAGUGCUUUCCAAACUACUGGGCUUGAAUAUGGAGAGGGUCGCGGAAUUCCCGGUGUAGAGGUGAAAUUCGUAAGAUAUCGGGAGGAACACAGUGGCGAAGGCGGCGACCUGGACAGAUAUUGACGU
rnacentral:rRNA from 1 species